UCUUAGCCACGAUUGUCGCGACAUCCUUUUUAUUUUUCGGGGGCGCGGCGCAGCCGCGCCCCCGAAAAAUAAAAAGAUACAGCAGAAAGCGUGAAAAAGC
rnacentral:sRNA from 1 species